CUGCAUCUAUGCGGACAGACCAGACCUAGAACAGUUACUGUCUGCUGCUAAGCUUUCCACUACAGAUGCAAGUUUUAAAAAAAGUCCUUGUGCUUUCUAUCUCAUUGUGGCAGCCAAUCUUGAAUGGGGGAACACAGGA
rnacentral:snoRNA from 1 species